GCCCGCGGGAAGGCGUGGCCAUGACAUCAGUCCCCGCCCAUCAGGCACAGGUGCAUUCUGGGAUUGCUUAACCCGGUUGAUGCCAGAAACGGUCAUAGAAAUAAUCCCGUGGGUGAAAUUCCGCCAAAAUCGGAUGAUGGGGAGAGAAAGUGAAGAGAAAACAUGCCACUCCGAGGAUACCAAUCUUCACGUUUUGUUUCAUGAGGAAAAUGACUAAAGGUUUCUUACAACAGAUGGAGGGUCUUACCCAAGGGCCUGGAUGACGGAAAACUCCAGAGAAGGGACCUUGAAUGUCUCUCCAUUACCCCUAAUCACACAAGAUGAAGAGCCUCACUUCAGAAUCUGUAUAGCAGUAAGGCGUGUAAGCUGUAAGGCGUUAAGUUCUGCCAGGAGGAUGAGACGAGUGCGCUGGUGUCGACGCCCCCACUGCCUCCACUUCAGCCUCCAUCGCUGGCCGGUCCUCGUCCCAUGAGGAGGCUCUGCGAGGUGUCCCUGCUUUUGACGCCUUGCCACCACAAGGAUUGUGAGAGCCACCACCUCCAGCCACCGUCACCAUUUGGUCCCCGUCCUGGGGGGGUGGGGGGGUAGGGGGGUAGCCUACGCCAAAGAGAAUCACUACUGCAUACUUCGGUGUCUCAAUAAAUAUCUUAAACUUUAAUUUGGUCUAUCGAGUCUUUCAUGGUAGAAGUGGAGCUUCUCCCUAUUCCCCCCUCACAAAUCCAUGAAAAAUGCACAAGAUCUGGCUAGGUCCACUCCCUAGACCCCUACACUAUUUUAUUGACUGUGGAAUUGGACUGUGUAACUAUUUUGUACACAAAUGUUAUAUGACCCACUCUUGCACCUUUAUUGCUAAUCACAGCUCCUUGUCUACCUCUACUGCACUGCCACUUAUAUGACUGAAUACUUAAAGCCCGGCCUCUGGACUGUGCAACAAAGCUUUAGUAGUCUAUGUGGAUUAAACUGUGAAUUACUAUUGGUCUGGACUCUGUGCCACAUGGCUCUGUCUGUAAUUCAUCUUCUUAUUCCUGUACAUAUGUGUAACCCAUCCUAGUUUUG